rnacentral:rRNA from 1 species
AUUGAACGCUGGCGGCAGGCUUAACACAUGCAAGUCGAGCGGGGAAAAGUAGCUUGCUACUUAACCUAGCGGCGGACGGGUGAGUAAUGCUUAGGAAUCUGCCUAUUAGUGGGGGACAACAUCUCGAAAGGGAUGCUAAUACCGCAUACGUCCUACGGGAGAAAGCAGGGGACCUUCGGGCCUUGCGCUAAUAGAUGAGCCUAAGUCGGAUUAGCUAGUUGGUGGGGUAAAGGCCUACCAAGGCGACGAGCUGUAGCGGGUCUGAGGGGAUGCUCCGCCACACUGGGACUGAGACACGGCCCAGACUCCUACGGGAGGCAGCAGUUGGGAAUAUUGGACAAUGUGGGGAACCCUGAUCCAGCCAUGCCGCGUGUGUGAAGAAGGCCUUUUGGUUGUAAAGCACUUUAAGCGAGGAGGAGGCUACCGAGAUUAAUACUCUUGGAUAGUGGACGUUACUCGCAGAAUAAGCACCGGCUAACUCUGUGCCAGCCGCCGCCGUAAAAC